rnacentral:RNase_P_RNA from 1 species
AAAGUUAGCCGGGCAAUCGCUGGUUUGUGAGGUAUAGAACCAGAGGAAAGUCCGGGCUCCGCAGGGUAAGAUGCCGGCUAACGGCCGGACGCUGUAAAGCGAUGGAAAGUGCCACAGAAAAAAUACCGCCGGAACAUUUUUUGUUUGGUAAGGGUGAAAUGGUGAACCAUAUUUCAUGGUUGGUGAUUCGAUGAACAUCGGGUAAGAGCCCACCGCAGAUAUGGCAACAUGUCUGGCAAGGUAAACCCCAUCUGGAGCAAGACCGAAUAGGGGGGCAGAGGUGUGACCCGCACUGUUCCCGGGUUGGUUGCUAGAGCUGCGGAGUGAUUCGCAGCCCAGAUGAAUGGUUGCCUCAAUGUGAUGAGCAUUAAGACAGAACCCGGCUUACAGGCUAACUUUCUUU